rnacentral:tRNA from 5 species
GCGCGAUUAGCUCAGCGGGAGAGCGCUACCUUGACACGGUAGAGGUCACUGGUUCGAUCCCAGUAUCGCGCACCG